AAGCUUAUAGAAAUAAUCUCAUCUUUUUACAGAGAUAGAUGUCCGACAUCGUUUACUCUAUUAUUUUAGGUGUUUUCUGAUUUUGAAGUUAAUGGUGGAGCAGUGGGCUUAACAUCAUGUUGUUUGUAUGGUGGAGCUCCUUAUCAUGCUCAGGAGAGCCAAUCGAGGAGAGGGGUCGAUAUAAUGAUUGGAACACCUGGCCGUGGGAAAGUAACUCAUUGAAUUGGAAGCUUAUUUGGUAAGUAUUCACGCAAAUCAUUGUGGGUCCUAGGAAGUGUUGGCGAGCCUAUCAAUCCAAGUGCGUGGAGGUGGUUUUUCAAUGUAGUCGGAGAUUCAGAGUGCCCUAUAUCUGACACUUGGUGGCAAACUGAAACUGGUGGCUUCAUGAUCACACCAUUAUCUAGUGCCUGGCCACAGAAACCUGGAUCUGCUACUUUUCUUUUCUUUGGG